rnacentral:rRNA from 1 species
UACGUAGGUGGCAAGCGUUGUCCGGAAUUAUUGGGCGUAAAGCGCGCGCAGGCGGUCCUUUAAGUCUGAUGUGAAAUCCCGUGGCUCAACCACGUGCGGUCAUUGGAAACUGGAGGACUUGAGUGCAGAAGAGGAAAGUGGAAUUCCAAGUGUAGCGGUGAAAUGCGUAGAGAUUUGGAGGAACACCAGUGGCGAAGGCGACUUUCUGGUCUGUAACUGACGCUGAGGCGCGAAAGCGUGGGGAGCAAACAGG